rnacentral:rRNA from 1 species
GACAGAGGAGCCAAGCGUUGUCCGGAUUGACUGGGCGUAAAGCGCACGCAGGCGGCCCGGCGCGUGGGGUGUGAAAGCUGGCGGCUUAACUGCCAGACGCCAUCCCAUACGGCUGGGCUCGAGCCCUGCAGAGGUCCAUGGAAUUGCCGGUGUAGUGGUGAAAUGCGUAGAGAUCGGCAGGAACACCCAGGGGGAAACCAGUGGACUGGGCAGGACGCUGACGCUGCAGGUGCGAA